rnacentral:lncRNA from 1 species
AUUGAUUAUAGUUUUGUUACUCUAUAUAUAUAUUUUUUCUCAGACAGCUUAAGUUUUCAGAGUACAGCGAUUAUUUUAGUCUCGAAUCCAGACGUGAGAGAGAGUAUGCUUUUAGAGUAUAACGAUUUUUUCACAUAACUUGACUUGAAUUAAAUGGAAGAAAAUUAAUACAUCAGGAACCUAACGUGAUUCAAACUUAAAAAAUUAAUAUAUUAGGAGCCUGUUGUGAUUUAAACUCAGGACAUCCUGCUUUGAUAUCAUUGAAACAACCAUUGUAUUCUAAAAUUUUAAACUAUCAGAGAACGAUAUUUAUUUAUUUUUAUAUUUAAUAAUUUUAAAAUUCUAUAUCAAUCUACUAACAAUGUUAUAUAUC